GAUGAACGCUGGCGGCGUGCCUAAUACAUGCAAGUCGAGCGAGCAGACGAGGAGCUUGCUCCUUUGACGUUAGCGGCGGACGGGUGAGUAACACGUGGGUAACCUACCUAUAAGACUGGGAUAACUUCGGGAAACCGGAGCUAAUACCGGAUAAUAUUUCGAACCGCAUGGUUCGAUAGUGAAAGAUGGCUUUGCUAUCACUUAUAGAUGGACCUGCGCCGUAUUAGCUAGUUGGUAAGGUAACGGCUUACCAAGGCAACGAUACGUAGCCGACCUGAGAGGGUGAUCGGCCACACUGGAACUGAGACACGGUCCAGACUCCUACGGGAGGCAGCAGUAGGGAAUCUUCCGCAAUGGGCGAAAGCCUGACGGAGCAACGCCGCGUGAGUGAUGAAGGUCUUCGGAUCGUAAAACUCUGUUAUUAGGGAAGAACAAACGUGUAAGUAACUGUGCACGUCUUGACGGUACCUAAUCAGAAAGCCACGGCUAACUACGUG
rnacentral:rRNA from 1 species